UUCCGUAGGGGGAACCUGCGGAGGGAUCAUUACCGAGUUUACAACUCCCAAACCCCUGUGAACAUACCACUUGUUGCCUCGGCGGAUCAGCCCGCUCCCGGUAAAACGGGACGGCCCGCCAGAGGACCCCUAAACUCUGUUUCUAUAUGUAACUUCUGAGUAAAACCAUAAAUAAAUCAAAACUUUCAACAACGGAUCUCUUGGUUCUGGCAUCGAUGAAGAACGCAGCAAAAUGCGAUAAGUAAUGUGAAUUGCAGAAUUCAGUGAAUCAUCGAAUCUUUGAACGCACAUUGCGCCCGCCAGUAUUCUGGCGGGCAUGCCUGUUCGAGCGUCAUUUCAACCCUCAAGCACAGCUUGGUGUUGGGACUCGCGUUAAUUCGCGUUCCUCAAAUUGAUUGGCGGUCACGUCGAGCUUCCAUAGCGUAGUAGUAAAACCCUCGUUACUGGUAAUCGUCGCGGCCACGCCGUUAAACCCCAACUUCUGAAUGUGACCU
rnacentral:rRNA from 1 species